UACGUAGGGGGCAAGCGUUGUCCGGAUUUAUUGGGCGUAAAGAGCGUGUAGGCGGCCAUGUAGGUCCGUUGUGAAAACUCGAGGCUCAACCUCGAGACGCCGGCGGAAACCAUCAGGCUAGAGUCCGGAAGAGGAGAGUGGAAUUCCUGGUGUAGCGGUGAAAUGCGCAGAUAUCAGGAAGAACACCCGUGGCUAAGGCGGCUCUCUAGUACGGUACUGACGCUGAGACGCGAAAGCGUGGGGAGCGAACAGG
rnacentral:rRNA from 1 species